UGCUCCGCUCCAUCGCAUGGUGGGGUGGGAAAUGCUUUUGCGGCAUGGGAUGGGGUCGCGUCCUAUCAGCUUGUUGGCGGGGUGAUGGCCCACCAAGGCGUUGACGGGUAGCCGGCCUGAGAGGGUGACCGGCCACAUUGGGACUGAGAUACGGCCCAGACUCCUACGGGAGGCAGCAGUGGGGAAUAUUGCACGAUGGGCGCAAGCCUGAUGCAGCGACGCCGCGUGCGGGAUGGAGGCCUUCGGGUUGUAAACCGCUUUUGUUCAGGGGCAAGGCACGGUUUCGGCCGUGUUGAGUGGAUUGUUCGAAUAAGCACCGGCUAACUACGUGCCAGCAGCCGCGGUAAUACGUAGGGUGCGAGCGUUAUCCGGAUUUAUUGGGCGUAAAGGGCUCGUAGGCGGUUCGUCGCGCCCGGUGUGAAAGUCCAUCGCCUAACGGUGGAUCUGCGCCGGGUACGGGCGGGCUGGAGUGCGGUAGGGGAGACUGGAAUUCCCGGUGUAACGGUGGAAUGUGUAGAUAUCGGGAAGAACACCAAUGGCGAAGGCAGGUCUCUGGGCCGUCACUGACGCUGAGGAGCGAAAGCGUGGGGAGCGAACAGGAUUAGAUACCCUGGUAGUCCACGCCGUAAACGGUGGAUGCUGGAUGUGGGGCCCUUUCCACGGGUCCCGUGUCGGAGCCAACGCGUUAAGCAUCCCGCCUGGGGAGUACGGCCGCAAGGCUAAAACUCAAAGAAAUUGACGGGGGCCCGCACAAGCGGCGGAGCAUGCGGAUUAAUUCGAUGCAACGCGAAGAACCUUACCUGGGCUUGACAUGUGCCGGAUCGCCGUGGAGACACGGUUUCCCUUCGGAACACCGGUGACAGGUGGUGCAUGGUUGUCGUCAGCUCGUGUCGUGAGAUGUUGGGUUAAGUCCCGCAACGAGCGCAACCCCUAUCUUCAGUAGCCAGCGGUAUGGCCGGGCACUCUGGAGAGACUGCCAGGGAUAACCUGGAGGAAGGUGGGGAUGACGUCAAAUCAUCAUGCCCCUUAUGAUUUGGGCUACACACGUGCUACAUGGCGUAAACAAAGGGAAGCGAGCCUGCGAAGGUAAGCAAAUCCCAAAAAUAACGUCCCAGUUCGGACUGCAGUCUGCAACUCGACUGCACGAAGCUGGAAUCGCUAGUAAUCGCGGAUCAGAAUGC
rnacentral:rRNA from 1 species